rnacentral:lncRNA from 1 species
AAAAGGACAAGUUGUGGAUUAAGUGGGUACACACUUUUUUUUUAUAAAACGCAGGGACAUAAUUGAUAUGGAUGCAAAGAAUGCCUCGUGGACUAAUAUGCAGGGAGAUUGCAAUUAAUUAAAAGUGUGCUCAUAGCCAUACAGUCUUAUUGGUCUCAAAUAUUCCUGUCGCCUAAGGUCAUAAACAAGAUUGAAGCUAUAUAUAGGACCUUUCUCUGGACGGGUAAUACAGAAGUAAAAAAGAAGGCAUUGGUGUCUUGGAACCAACUGUGUCUACCUAAGACAUCUAGGGGAAUGAAUAUCAUUGAUAUACAAAUAUGGAAAAGAACUGCAAUUCUAAAACACUACUGGAAUUUGUCUAAAAAAAGGACAAGUUGUGAAUUAAGUGGGUACACACUUUUUAUAUAAAAAUCAGGGACAUAAUUGAUAUGGAUGCAAAGAAUCCCUCGUGGACUAAUAUGCAGGGAAGUUGCAAUUAAUUAAAAGUGUGCUCAUAGCCAUAGAGUCUUAUUGGCCUCAAAUAUUCCUGUUGCCUAAGAAGGCCAUAAACAAGAUUGAAUCUAUAUGUAGGACCUUUCUCUGGACGGGUAAUACAUAAGUAAAAAAGAAGGCAUUGGUGUCUUGGAACCAACUGUGUCUACCUAAGACAUUUUGGGGAAUAAAUACCACUGAUAUAUAAAUAUGGAACAUAACUGCAAUUCUGAAACGCUAAUGGAAUUUGUCUAAAAAAAGGAUAAGUUGUGGAUUAAGUGGGUACACACUUUUUAUAUAAAAAGCAGGGACAUAAUUG